GAUGAACGCUGGCGGCGUGCUUAACACAUGCAAGUCGAACGGUGAACACGGAGCUUGCUCUGUGGGAUCAGUGGCGAACGGGUGAGUAACAAGUGAGCAACCUGCCCCUGACUCUGGGAUAAGCGCUGGUAACGGCGUCUAAUACUGGAUCUGUGACGUGACCGCAUGGUCUGCGUUUGGAAAGAUUUUUCGGUUGGGGAUGGGCUCGCGGCCUAUCAGCUUGUUGGUGAGGUGAUGGCUCACCAAGGCGUCGACGGGUAGCCGGCCUGAGGGGGUGACCGGCCACCCUGGGACUGAGACACGGCCCCGGCUCCUACGGUAGGCAGCAGUGGGGAAUAUUGCACAAUGGGCGCAAGCCUGAUGCAGCAGCGCCGCGUGAGGGAUGACGGCCUUCGGGUUGUAAACCGCUUUUAGCUGGGAAGAAGCGAAAGUGACGGUACCUGCAGAAAAAGCGCCGGCUAACUACGUG
rnacentral:rRNA from 1 species